UGCACCUGGACGGAGAGUGUGAUCUACAUUGAAUAUUUUACUUCGAGUUCGUAUCGGCUAGAUGGGAAACUUCGAUGCAGGUCUGGAGCGUCAGUUUGAUUUGGACCGUUGGGAAUUUCUGCUGUGAUUUUUGUUUUAGUUUUUUAACCGGAAAAAUAUGCCAAUGGGUUUUUCGUUAAAUGCGAGAUGGUAUAUUUCCUGGGGGCACUUCGAUGCUCUGAGCUAAGCACAACAGUUAAUUGUUUAGCACCAUUGAUUUCGGAAUUGGCCAGCAGCACAACUGGAUGGACGUAUUUAGAAUAUUCGCAAUAUAAUGGGGAUUAGCGGAAUGUUACCACAUCGCUUUGUGCAUGCUACUCUGCAAACUGGGUGGACAAGUUGUGUGAUCCGGUGUGAGGGUUUGAGGAUAUAGUACCCUGUGGCCUAGUGAGAAAUUUAUGGUUAUUUCGUACUGGAUAGUUAAACAUUAAUUAUAAUGUUGAUGAGAAUUAGCAUUCGGUGGCGAGCAUGGCGUAUGCCAUUAUGUUUCACUCGAAUCAAUGCGAUUAUUAAUGACGCUGGGAUAGAGGUAUUUAGCUAUACUGAUUUGAUUGCAAAUGUGUUUUGGUUGUUGAUGUGUAAUUGAGUUAGUAGGUUAUUUGUUCCACAGUAUAACUAGUCUUUGUGCAGAAAAAAACGUCAAUAUCGGAAUUUAAA